GCCUCAGCCUCCGAAGUAGCUGGGACUACAGGCGUGGGCCACCACACCCGGAUAAUUUUUGUCUUUUUAGUAGAGAUGCGGUUUCACCAGGUUGGCCAGGCUGAUCUCAAACCCCUGACCUCAAGUAAUCCACCCACCUCGGCCUCCCAAAGUGCCAGGAUUACAGGCAGGGGCCACCAUGCCCAGCCAUGUAAUCUUCCUUAAAGGACAUCAGUGAUCUAGUAUUUUUAUUUAUUGCAAAUUAUACAAUAAAAUUUGUACUUGAUCAUAAGCUUUUGUAAGAUAUUAAAUUUUUUGAGACUAGAAAAACCAAAUGAAUAAUAUCCUACAGUCAGUCAAAUUAUUUGAUAUACAAAUACAAUGGGUUUCCUGAGGCGUCUGAGGAGGCUUGCGGAAGCUGUGUGAGAGGCGUUUUUAUUUAUCUAACGGUUUCUUCUUGUGCAUUCAUCUUCAUGGCAGAUUGGGGCUGGAGAGCAGCAGAGGUUUGGACCUUGUCAGAGGUGCAUUUUUUAUUGUGGUUUUUGUUAUUUUUAAGACAUUAUUUGACCAAGAAGCAUCAGUUCUGAAUCAGGGCAAUGACUUUCUCACUUUGGAUUUAUUGU
rnacentral:lncRNA from 10 species